AAUAUGUGUUAUAUGUCAUGAAAAGUAUAUUAUUAGAUUUCUACACGGAUGUAGUUUCUAAAUAUAUAUUUUUUGUCACAUAUAAUACAUAUU
rnacentral:pre_miRNA from 1 species